GUUUAUUUCUCUCCCAGUUAAAAGAGUUCUGGCGAUGGGCAACCCAGUUCCCAGUAUGAUACAGUUGCAAAAACACUCUAGAUUAUAACAAUGAAUUUAUAGGCAGGGAUUUUUUAAUACAAUGUCCGUCAGAUUGCAGGUGGAGCCUUGUAUUCAGUUCCAGUUGUUGAUUUUGAGUCCUGCAGUCUCGGGAGAUUGGUCAGGAACUUGAAGGGGGUGUAACAUAUCUUGAGAAGUGGUUGAAAGCAACUGACGUGUGUGUGUGGGGGGUGUGAUGUAUGUCAUUAGAGUCAGUAGAGAGAUGAGAUCCAAUAAUUGUUCCCCUUUUACUCAAGUCCUGAGAUGAUUUGACAUUCUUUGUUGGGCCAGGCAAUAGAACAAUGGCCAGUAGCGGGUAGAGAGAAGCAGAACUUAAAAAGAUUUUGUGAUGAAAUAUAUGUACAAAUGAGUAUGCAAAAUAUGUAUGUACAGUUUAAAGAGUAAUUAGAAUACCUGUGAAAAUGUCCCCCUGGCUUAAAACUGGAACAUCACUAGUAUCUUAAAAGAUAUUGUGUACCUCUGCAUGAUCUUAUCUCAUUUGGUUUCACAGCUGUAUAAUAUCAUUGUCUGGUUAUGCCACAGUUUAUUCAUCCUACCAUGAAAGGAUAGAUAUAUUUUUUCCUAUCAAGGCAAUGCAUUAUUAAUGUUCUGUACAUGUCCUGGAGUGUAAGUACAAGAAUUCCUUUUACAGCAGUGGUUCUCAAAGAGUGGCAGGAGCACCACCUGGAACUUCUUAGAAAUGCAAAUUUCCAUGCCCCAGUGCCUGAAUGAGACUCUGGUGAAGAGUCCAGCAAUCUGUAUUUUACAGAUCUUCCCAGUGAUUAUAAUGUACACUAGUGUGUGAGAACUAUUGUUUCAGUGUAUGGGCACGAGUAUGGAAUUUCUGGGUUCUAGGGUAUACCCAUGUAUAGCAUUUUUUGAGAAAUACCAAACAUUUCCGAAUUGGUCGUACCAAUUUAUGUCUCUACUAUCAGUGGGUGAGUCUUUCCAAUGCUCCUCAUCCUCUUCUAUGUUCAGUGUUGUGUUACUUUUUUAGGGGUCGCAAAUCUAGGAGGUUAGAACGAUAUCUCCCUGUGUCCUUAAUUUACAUUUCUCUCACUAAUUAUUGGACUUGAGCACCUUUUUGUGUAUUUACAAGCCACUAAUAUUUUCUCAUGGUAAAAGACUAUUUGUGUCUUUCCCACUUCUGUAUUGAAUUUCAAAUUGAUUUCUGGACUUAUUUAUGUCUCCCUGUACUAGUCUUUUGUCAUUUUAUGUGCUGCAAACAUCUAAUAGUUUUUAGUUUGUCUUAUUACUCUGUUAGAUCUUUUGUUGAUCAGAGUUCUUAAUUUCAGUGUUAUCAAAUUUAUCAAUCUUUUAUGGUUAGUGCUACUUAUGCCUUAAGAAGCCCUUCUAUAUCCUGAAGUCAUAAAGACUUUUCCCCUCCAUUGUUUUAUGAAGUGUUAUCAUUUUGUUCUUUUCUUUUGUUAUGACUUUUAUUUAUGUUAUGAUAGAGAUAUAUAUUUUCAUAAUGAAUAAUUCAUUGGCCCAGCACCUUUUAUGAAAGAAUCCAUUCUUUAACCAUAGGUCUUUAUAGCCCAGUCUAUCUUAAACCAACUUUCUGUACAUAGGUAGGGUUGUUUUUGAGUCCGCUAUUCCAAUUUAUUCUAGUCUGUUUGUUCAUUUCUCUGCCAUCAUCACAUUGUCUCAUAGUUUUAUAAAAAAGUCAAUAUCUGCUCAGACAAGUUCUUUUGUGUUGUUCUUAACAGGUGGCCCAUUUACAUUUUAGAAUUUGUAAAUUUUCAUGAAAACCUUCUGGGAGUUUGUGGUUGCAUUCAAUUUAUAGAUCAGUUUAGGAGGAGUAGACAUCUUUCUAACUCUGAGUCUUCUUAUCCAUGAUUUUCUUCAUGUAUUUAGAGAUUCUUUAAUGUGUUUUAAUAUAAUUACUUUUUCCCAGUAAGUCUCAUGUAUCUUUUAUUAGAUUUAUUUCUAGAUAUUGUAUUGUUUAUGAUGCUAUUGUAAAUCGUAUAAUUUUAAAAAUUACAUUUGCUAACUGUUCUUGGGAAUAUAAGUACAGUUGUCUAUUUUAUAUAUAUUUUGUAGCUGUGACCUUUUAAGUAUUUUCAUUCUAAUACUUUGUUGAUUCUUUUGAGUUUUCUGUGUGGAAAGUGAAUUUAUUGUGUCCUUUUCGAUCCUUUUAUAUUUUCUUUGCUGUAGUCGUUAGUACCUCUGCUUGUUGAAUACAAGUGAUGAUAGCAAGUAUCCUUGUCUUAUUCUUGUACUUAAUGGAAAUAUUUUCAAUAUUUCAGUAUCAAAUAAGAUUGUUGUAUCCUCUUAUAUUCAAGUAUGAUUUGAGUUUUCAUCAUGAAAUGGAUUUAAAUUUUAUCUAAUGCUUUUUCUGCAUUAUUAGUGGUAGCAAAUGAUUUUUCUUCUUUACUUUGAUUAUGUGGUGAAUUAGAGUACUCAACCUUUAAUUAACAAACCAAACUAGCAUUAUUGGUACAAACUUACUUGAUCAGAAUAUUAUUUUAUAUAUACAUUGCUGGAUUCACUUGUAUAGUAUUUAGGAUUUUGUAUGUGUAGGUCACAAUUGAUAUUUGUUUACAAGUCUAUACUUUUUAUUUCUUAAUCUUUUCCAGUUUGGUUUUGGUAUCAAAAUUAUGCUAGCCUCAUACAAUGAGUAAAAAGUGUUCCUUUUGUGUUCAUAUAAUAUCACUUCAUCUUUUUCUUGGUAGUAUAUGCCUAUAGAGACAUCAGUACCUGGCAUUUUCUUUAUGGAAAGAUUAACUACUGAUUUAAAUUCUUUAAAGAUUAUUGGAUUGAAUUUUCCAGCUUUCUCUUGAUUCAGUUUUUAUAUUUAGUACUUGUAAAUAAUUUAUUCAUUUCAUUUAGGUUUUCAAUUAUUUGUAAUAUGUUCCUUAUUUAUUCUCUGUAUUUUGUUCCCCUUUCUGUAAUUUUGUCCUCUUUUUCUCUAUUGAUAAUUGUUUAUUUGUACCUUAUCUCUUUCCUUUCAUCAGUUUGUCUCAUAAGUUUUCAAAGAACUUGACUUUGUUUAAAACUCUUAACUUUUGUAUGUAUUUUUUUCCAUUUCAGAAAUUUAAAUUUUUAUAUACUUUUUACCUCUUCCCACCCAUUAUAAGGAGUGCCCAUUCAUGAGCUGGCAUAUAGUUUUUAUAUCUGAUAGGCAACAUGAUACUUCAUUGUUUUAAAUUUGCAUUCUUUUAUUUGUAAUGUUGAGCAUCUUUUAAUAAAAUACUUGUUAGUUA